UGGGAUGUAGCUCAGUGGUAGAGCAUUUGCCUAGCGUGCAUGAGGCCUUUGCUUCAAUCCUUAGUAUCACAA
rfam:Ictidomys tridecemlineatus contig034131, whole genome shotgun sequence.